rnacentral:tRNA from 1 species
GCCCUAAAAGCUAUAUUAGCAAUUAAUCUUGUAAAUUAAAAGAUAAAGGUUUAAAUCCUUUUUAGUGCU